UACGGAGGGUGCAAGCGUUAUCCGGAUUCACUGGGUUUAAAGGGUGCGUAGGUGGGCAGUUAAGUCAGUGGUGAAAUCUCCGGGCUCAACCCGGAAACUGCCAUUGAUACUAUCUAUCUUGAAUAUCGUGGAGGUAAGCGGAAUAUGUCAUGUAGGCGGUGAAAAUGCUUAGAUAUACAUAGAACACCAAUUGCGAAAGGCAGCUUACUACCCGAAUAUUGACACUGAGGCACGAAAGCGUGGGGAUCAAACAGG
rnacentral:rRNA from 1 species